GAUCUGCAAAAACAACUGCUGAGCUUUGAAGGAAGACUAAAGAAUAAUCCAUUUCUAAUUAUUAGUUAGCUAUUGGUUUAUAGAGAAAUCUUGUAAUAAUCGCUCAGUUAAACUAGCAUGGCUACAGAAAUGAUCCAGUAAACAUGAGGGUUGGAGUUCUCAGAACCUGUCCCUGGCACAGAUCUCAUUCCAUUUAUUGUUAUGAUUACACAUUUCUGAAAUUUUGUUUUUAUUUCUUAGAAUCAUUGUGAUUCUAUCACCCAGCUUUCUAAUGAUUCGCUUAGGUUUCUCCUGUAUUGGUUUGAUGCAGUUCUAGCUCCCUCUGCUGGAGAUAAAAGCCAUCAACAUCCAGUAAAUGCUUUAUUUAGAUAGAAAGUAACUGCACACAAUGCACAAGGUGAUCAUUUAGAAUGACUUUAACUUUAU